rnacentral:piRNA from 1 species
UGCGGUCCACGGCCAGGUGAACAAUGC